UCGUUUUCGUGUUCAUCAUUUUAUUUAUGAGCAUUGUGAACUGAUAUGAAAUCGAUGUUUUCCACUCGAGCAGUUUUAGGUGAGCUGCCGGCACCGUACUGUACCUCAUGCGGUCUUUCCCAAUCCGCUCCCUCCUCACUAACACUCCACUACAGAGGGACCCUCCACGUGAACGCGCAAACGGAGGCGGAGUGAAGAGGGGGAGUGAGUAGGGAGCGGAUUGAGAUUGGGGGGAUUGGGCUCCCGGACGGCACUUCAUGUUUACAUUCCGUUUCUGCUCACCACGCUAGCCUGCAAAAUGACCACAGCAAAAGUUAAGUUGAUGUUUUUCUGAUGUGUGUCUCAUGAAUUAGUUCAUAUUAUUAUUAGGGCUGUCGUUAAUCGCGGUAAUUAACGCGAUUAAGGCGUUACAUUUGUAAUCGCGAUUAAAAAAAAUUAAUCGUGAUAAUUUUUUAAUCAAACUAUUUUUAUUGAGCUGUUUGUGUCAGUUUUAUUUCAUGUGUUAGUAAACAUCCAUUCUUGCAUUUCAGGGCUGCAGCACCUUCCAGAAAAGCUGGGAUGGUAAAGCAUUUACCACUUUGUAAUGUUGCCAUUCCGUCUCAACACAAAGAUGUUUUGGCACCUUGAAUAUCUAGCAAUGAAGUGUUCUGGUGCAUUUUGUGCCAUUGUUCCUGAAAACUGAAGUCUUAAGCCAUGCCUUUGUAAUGUCUGCCGGCUGGGAUAACUGAGGUUUAGCACAUAGGUCAAGCCAAGGAAGGCAGCACAAGCUAUAGCAUUAUCUUUUAAUCCUGUGAUGACAUGCGCUCCCUCAAUAAUAAUCAUGAUGUCCUUUGGUGUGUCACCUGCAGAAGCUCUCAUGUUCAUCAUCACAACUACUGCCAAUGAGGGCUGGUCCACUUCUAAACCUUCAGGUUCCUGCAACAUCAAUUAUUAUGGUGUGAAAAGGGUCAAAAGUAAUUUGUUAAUACUUUAAUUUGUCUUGUCAAAACAUGCAGUUAAUAAACAUUACAUUUUUGGA